rnacentral:rRNA from 1 species
UACAGAGGGUGCGAGCGUUAAUCGGAAUUACUGGGCGUAAAGCGUGCGCAGGCGGGUUGUGCAAGACAGAGUGUGAAAUCCCCGGGCUUACCUGGGAACUGCAUUUGUGACUGCACGGCUGGAGUGCGGCAGAGGGGGAUGGAAUUCCGCGUGUAGCAGUGAAAUGCGUAGAUAUCCGGAGGAACACCAGUGGCGAAGGCGACGUUUCUGGCCGUGUUCUUGACGCUGAGGCGCGAAAGCCAGGGAGCGA